rnacentral:rRNA from 1 species
AUUGAACGCUGGCGGCAGGCUUAACACAUGCAAGUCGAACGAGUGGCGGACGGGUGAGUAAUGCUUGGGAAUCUGGCUUAUGGAGGGGGAUAACGACGGGAAACUGUCGCUAAUACCGCGUACAAUAGGAUGAGCCCAAGUGGGAUGAGGUAGUUGGUGGGGUAAUGGCCUACCAAGGCGACGAUCUCUAGCUGGUCUGAGAGGAUGACCAGCCAAACCUGGACCGGGAAAACGGCCGGAAUCCGACGGGAGGGAGCAGGGGGGAAUCAUCCGCAAUGGACGAAAGUCUGACGGAGCAACGCCGCGUGAGUGAUGACGGCCUUCGGGGUGUAAAGCUCGUUAAGCGGGACGACGGUACCGGAAUAGAAAGCCACGGCUAACUACGUGCCAGCAACCGCGGUAAUAC